AACUGGGUUCCACCCAAACUCUU
rnacentral:snRNA from 1 species